AUGCCUGGCAGCGACUUCUCGCUUCUCCUUCCUCCUACCCCAUCGACCCUCUGCUGCCGACCUUUACGCCAAACUCCGGCGCGCCGCGAGACUCGCGUCCUCCCUGUCCCCGAGGGGCCCCACCCCUUCCCGGUUCUAACCUGCGACCUGGCCAGAGGCAAGGUGAAUGGGAAGAUGGAGAUGGAUGUUGAGGGAGUUUCUCCGCGCCCGGAGCCCAUCCCCCGCUCCCAGGGGGCUGGCGGAGCCUGCCAGGCGCCGCCACAGCCGCCCCAGCCCCAGCCGCCGCCGCAGCAGCUGGCUCAGGAUGAACUGCCCGGCGAGAGUGCAGGCGCUGAGGACAGCGACGAUCCCGAGACGAGACCCAACGGCGAGAAAGGAGAGAGCAAGAGAUGCCAUGGUCAACAAGGUGAUGAAUACCACUGUGAGCUCACUACAAGAUCUCAAAGAUUUCAAGCCACUGGCUGUUCCAAAGCAUGAAGCCGCCCUUCCGGAGCAGUGGCGGGAGGCAGGCAGGGAGGAG
rnacentral:lncRNA from 1 species